GCAAACUUGGUCAUUUAGAGGAAGUAAAAGUCGUAACAAGGUCUCCGUAGGUGAACCUGCGGAGGGAUCAUUACCGAGUGAGGGCCUCCGGCCCGACCUCCAACCCUUUGUUGACCAACACCUGUUGCCUCGGGGGCGACCCGGACGCCGACGCCUCGGCCGACGGGCCCCCGGUGGACCAUUCCAACUCUGUGUCCGUACGUCGGAGUACUUAGCGAAUCAAUCAAAACUUUCAACAACGGAUCUCUUGGUUCUGGCAUCGAUGAAGAACGCAGC
rnacentral:misc_RNA from 1 species